GACGUCAAGUCAUCAUGGCCCUUACGGCCUGGGCUACACACGUGCUACAAUGGUCGGUACAAAGGGUUGCCAAGCCGCGAGGUGGAGCUAAUCCCAUAAAGCCGAUCGUAGUCCGGAUCGCAGUCUGCAACUCGACUGCGUGAAGUCGGAAUCGCUAGUAAUCGUGAAUCAGAAUGUCACGGUGAAUACGUUCCCGGGCCUUGUACACACCGCCCGUCACACCAUGGGAGUGGGUUGCUCCAGAAGUAGCUAGUCUAACCUUCGGGAGGACGGUUACCACGGAGUGAUUCAUGACUGGGGUGAAGUCGUAACAAGGUAGCCGUAGGGGAACCUGCGGCUGGAUCACCUCCUUAA
rnacentral:rRNA from 1 species